rnacentral:rRNA from 1 species
AACUAACUAGGAUUCCCUCAGUAGCUGCGAGCGAACAGGGAUAAGCCCAGCACCGAAUCCCGCGGCCGACAUCGGACGCCGGGAAAUGUGGUGUUCGGGAGGGUCCAUUAUCCCGAGAUUAUGCGAUGCGUCCAAGUCCUUCUUGAACGGGGCCACAGCCCAUAGAGGGUGCCAGGCCCGUAGUGACCGUCGCUAGUCGCGGGAGGAUCUCUCCUCAGAGUCGGGUUGCUUGAGAGUGCAGCCCUAAGUGGGUGGUAAACUCCAUCUAAGGCUAAAUAUGACCACGAGACCGAUAGCGAACAAGUACCGUGAGGGAAAGUUGAAAAGCACUUUGAAGAGAGAGUUCAAGAGUACGUGAAACCGUUUAGGGGUAAACCUGAGAAACCCGAAAGGUCGAAGGGAGAAAUUCAUUCGCGUUUCGAGGCAGGCGAUCGGUGGUCGUGUGACGGGGGCGUUCGCGUCUUCCGCACCUUCUAUCGAUCGAACCGGCAACGAACGCGUGCACUUUUCUCCUGGUAGGACGUCGCGAUCCGUUGGGUGUCGGUCUACGGCUCGGGGUGGAGCCCGUUCGUCACUUGUGUCGAGCGGACCCUCGUGUCCUGGCCGACUCGCUCGACGGUAUACUGAAAGGUUUGAGGCCGCUCUCGGAGCGUUCGGCCCGCGGCAAGCGCGUCAGAUGCGUUGGCGAUCGGACCUAGUGCCGGUUCUGACCUCUGAUGACUGUUGGCCGUGGUGUUCUCGAACAGACC